AUGGACUACAGAUCUGGACUGCUGUUUUCUAUGAUCUGCUUUACGGGCAUUUACUGUCAGACUCUGAGAGAAUCUGAACCAGUGGUUAAAAGACCAGGAGAGUCUCACAAACUGACCUGUACAGCUUCUGGAUUCACAUUCACCAGCUACUACAUGCAUUGGAUCAGACAGGCUCCUGGGAAGGGACUGGAAUGGCUUGCUUUUAUCGAUGUUGGUGGUGGUACCACCUAUUAUUCUCAGUCAGUCCAAGGCCGGUUCACCAUCUCCAGAGAAAACAGCAAACAGCAGGUGUAUCUGCAGAUGAACAGCCUGAGAACAGAAGAUUCUGCUGUUUAUUAUUGUGCUCGACAGGCACAGCAUCACUACAAUAACUCUCCAUUCAACCUUCACUAA